rnacentral:rRNA from 1 species
UACGAAGGGUGCUAGCGUUGUUCGGAAUUACUGGGCGUAAAGCGCGCGUAGGCGGCUUAGCAAGUCAGGGGUGAAAUCCCACAGCUCAACUGUGGAAUUGCCUUUGAAACUGCUAAGCUUGAGUGUCGGAGGGGAUAGCGGAAUUGCUAAUGUAGAGGUGAAAUUCGUAGAUAUUGGCAGGAACACCGGUGGCGAAGGCGGCUAUCUGGACGACAACUGACGCUGAGGCGCGAAAGCGUGGGGAUCAAACAGG